GCUUGCACCUUUCAAGCGAGUGGCGAACGGGUGAGUAACACGUGGAUAACCUGCCUCAAGGCUGGGGAUAACAUUUGGAAACAGAUGCUAAUACCGAAUAAAACUUAGUAUCGCAUGAUACAAAGUUGAAAGGCGCUACGGCGUCACCUAGAGAUGGGUCCGCGGUGCAUUAGUUAGUUGGUGGGGUAAAGGCCUACCAAGACAAUGAUGCAUAGCCGAGUUGAGAGACUGAUCGGCCACAUUGGGACUGAGACACGGCCCAAACUCCUACGGGAGGCUGCAGUAGGGAAUCUUCCACAAUGGGCGAAAGCCUGAUGGAGCAACGCCGCGUGUGUGAUGAAGGCUUUAGGGUCGUAAAGCACUGUUGUAUGGGAAGAAAUGCUAGAAUAGGGAAUGAUUCUAGUUCGACGGUACCAUACCAGAAAGGGACGGCUAAAUACGUGCCAGCAGCCGCGGUAAUACGUAUGUCCCGAGCGUUAUCCGGAUUUAUUGGGCGUAAAGCGAGCGCAGACGGUUGAUUAAGUCUGAUGUGAAAGCCCGGAGCUCAACUCCGGAAUGGCAUUGGAAACUGGUUAACUUGAGUGUUGUAGAGGUAAGUGGAACUCCUUGUGUAAACGGGU
rnacentral:rRNA from 1 species